CCCAGCCCAAGUUGGCUUUCACGAUUAAUCUAGGUCGUUCCCUUUCCCCCAACCUCCCCUAUUCCUCUCAAGCCCUCCCAUGCCGGCCGCCGCCACUCCUUUGCACGGCUGUGACCUACCUGCAUCCCAGCACGCCGCCCCUCACGACUCCCCUCUGACCCUUCGACCCGGCGCGCCGUUCCUCGUCACCACCCUCGCGCCCUGCAUCCGGGCGCGCUGCCCCUCGUCACCGAUCCCCUACGACCAACGGCGGAUUAAGGUGUCAACCAUAUAAAACAAUCGAAGCUGGUGCCUUCUCUCCAUUACUUUAAUCUCAUUGCUCCAACGACACGCAAGCCAUAUUGGCUAAGGAGGACGUCCUUCCAAUCUCACUUCCCAUGCCCAACCAAACUGCAAUCUAGUGCAGUGGGGAAGGUGUACAUCAAAGGAAGUUUGUAGCUGAAUGGGAAACCACUAUUGUUGGUGAAGUUGCCGAGAAUAGGAAUUAUUGCAGACUGGUCGCAGGUAUGCAAGGAGCAAGAAGAGAGUAGCUUUUUUCUUUUGAGGAUUUUUAUGUUGUGUUGUGCUACUGAAAUCUGAGACGUACAUCCUAGAGUUUUGUUUUAGGAGAUACUGAUGAUGUGCUUUAUUUAGUUUCAGACCUCUACUUGGUAUAUAAUGAGAAAGUACAUCCUAGAGUUCGUAAUGUGGGAUGCUGAUGAUGCGCGUUCUUUAGUUUCAAACAUCUGAAUAUACAUAUUACCUGGAUGGCUAAGAUUUGUAGGUGCUAUACAAGCAACUAGGCGAUUCAAUUCACCUAAGGUGCGGACGUAGUUCUGCACCGCGAACUCAAGCACCACUUCUAGUUUUGUUGGAAAGUGGAUAAGUCCUUUUGGAGCAUUACACGAUUUGUUCAGUCACUUCUCUAUGUUCCUUACAUGCCAAAGGUACGGGUUUGCUUACUUGGAUCUGUUCCUUCAAUUUUUUGCUCACCCACUGAUCCACAUCUUAAAAGCACAAACUACUAUGUUCAAAUGGAAUUUCUGGAUAGUGUUGUUGAAGACCUGGAGGUAUAUGCAUCAGGAGGUCAAGGUGGCACCGUAGCAGUAUUUAAUUAAAAAUACACGUGAGAUCAAAAAAUGAUGCUAAGUUCCUCUUUCCUCAUAUUUUUUUUCUGCUUGGUUUGUUUUAAUGUCGUUCUUUUGUUAAAUAGAUGUACCAAAUAAUUAAGAACAUAUUUGUUGCUUAUUUUUAAAAGUUCAUGCAUAUGGUGUAUGGAGCUAGAACUUGCUUAUGAAGAGCUGUUAUGCAACUAAGAUCUAAUUUUUGUAAUUCGUUGACUAAAUCCAUGAUACUAAAUUGUAUGUUGUCAUAUAUAUGUUAUACGUACACAUGUAGUUACUAGGCAUGCAUUGUGAGCAGAUAAGUUCAGGGGCUGUUUGGAUCAUUGCCAUGGGACGCCAGGCCAAAAUAUUGGUCGUUGACCCAACCCAGGUGCUCAUUUGGAUGGAGGCCAAUUAAUUGGUACGCCCACACCUCCGUAGCAACCACAAUUCAAUUUCCAACCAACUUUUUGGCAAGGCGUGGGUUGGCAAAUCCUAUGCCAAUUUUUUGGCAAGUCCUCGAUUGGCAUGGCCGGUGCUAGCCUAAACCAAACAGCCCCUCAGUCUCUAUUAAUCUUGUUAAGUACAAAAUAUGGCCUUGCAUACAUGUAUCUCCAUUCUCAUAUAUUGGAAUAUAUACUAAAGGAAAGACUCAUGCUGUAUGCUUCUGAUUCAUGUUAAAAGCGUGUAACCUCUUUACCGCUACGCUUCCUUUUCACAUAAUAGGAAAAGGUCUAUACCAAACAAAGGAAGCUCACUGAACACAUCAUUACAAAUUACCUGGCGAAAGGCCAGGCGAUGAAGAGGAUCAAGUUGUGAGCCCCCAACAUAGACGUAUAGUGGCUGAAUGUGCUUCUCAUCAAUGCUUUGGCUGCAUCCUGUGUCUCCAGGCAGGAACUAAAGUACUCUUGAAGAGCCUGAAAAUCAAAAUGGAAACGUAGCUCUUCCUACAGUUGUAAGUUGAGAUCCUAAAUUUAAACUUGAUGGUGCUUAACUUUCAAAUGAAUUCUGGGCAGUGCAUCCCGAUAUGGAUCUUUCGAAAACUUAAGAUUUGGUGCGAAGUUGCAAAAAUUGCUACUCUUUGGUAAUGCAGAAAAAAAAGAUUGCAUGGCCUCCAACCUUUAUUCAAAAGACAAAUGGAUGAUUAUAUGGGUGUGUGGCAAGUAUACUGAUGGUGGUGGUGGUGGUGGUGGUGGUGAUGAUGAUGAUGUCCCUGUUCAUGAUGAUGAUGAUGUUGGAUGCUUUCAGUUUUAAUUUAGUUGUAGGGAUGAUGUUCCUCGGUUAAGUUUUAGUUAAGUUGCAGGGAUGUUGAUGGACGCUUUUGGUUUGAGUUUUGUAGUCACGAAAAUAUUUAGAGUAUGCAUCACAUUUGGAUGAUGUUCCUCGUGUAAUAUCCACUACUGUAAUCCAACAAUUUUAUCUAAUAUAUGAUUCUUCCUUGUGUGAGUA